rnacentral:rRNA from 1 species
CAGUAGCCACGGUAAGACGAACCGUGCGAACGUUAUUCGGAAUCACUGGGCUUAAAGCGCGUGUAGGCGGGCCGCCACGUCGGCUGCUGAAAUCCCCCGGCUCAACCGGGGAAGUGGCACCGAUACGAGCGGCCUCGAGGGGGGUAGGGGGGACUGGAACUUCCGGUGGAGCGGUGAAAUGCGUUGAGAUCGGAAGGAACGCCCGUGGCGAAAGCGAGUCCCUGGACCCUUUCUGACGCUGAGACGCGAAAGCCAGGGGAGCGAACGGGAUUAGAUACCCCUGUAGUCCCUGUCUCUUAUU